rnacentral:rRNA from 1 species
CACGUAGGGGACGAGCGUUGUCCGGAUUCAUUGGGCGUAAAGCGCGCGUAGGCGGCUCGGAAAGUCGGUCGUGAAAUCCUGGGGCUCAACCCCGGAACUGCGUCCGAUACUCCCGAGCUGGAGGCAGGUAGGGGAGAUCGGAAUUCCUGGUGUAGCGGUGAAAUGCGCAGAUAUCAGGAGGAACACCGGUGGCGAAGGCGGAUCUCUGGGCCUUGCCUGACGCUGAGGCGCGAAAGCUAGGGGAGCGAACAGG